ACGGGAGGCAGCAGUGGGGAAUAUUGGGCAAUGGGCGCAAGCCUGACCCAGCAACGCCGCGUGAAGGAAGAAGGCUUUCGGGUUGUAAACUUCUUUUAUCAGGGACGAACAGAUGACGGUACCUGAUGAAUAAGCCACGGCUAACUACGUGCCAGCAGCCGCGGUAAUACGUAGGUGGCAAGCGUUAUCCGGAUUUACUGGGUGUAAAGGGCGUGUAGGCGGGAUUGCAAGUCAGAUGUGAAAUCUAUGGGCUUAACCCAUAAACUGCAUUUAAAACUGUUCUUCUUGAGUGCUGGAGGGGCAAUCGGAAUUCCUUGUGUAGCGGUGAAAUGCGUAGAUAUAAGGAGGAACACCAGUGGCGAAGGCGGAUUGCUGGACAGUAACUGACGGUGAGGCGCGAAAGUGUGGGGAGCAAACAGGAUUAGAUACCCUGGUA
rnacentral:rRNA from 1 species